rfam:Ixodes scapularis strain Wikel colony gcontig_1107728558904, whole genome shotgun sequence.
GCAGCCGUGGCCGAGUGGUUAAGGCGAUGGACUAGAAAUCCAUCGGGGUCUCCCCGCACAGGUUCGAGUCCUGUCGAAUGCG